GAUGAACGCUAGCGGCAGGCCUAACACAUGCAAGUCGAGGGGCAGCACGUCUUCGGAUGGUGGCGACCGGCGCACGGGUGCGUAACGCGUAUGCAACCUACCUCUUACAGUGGGAUAGCCCAGAGAAAUUUGGAUUAAUACCGCAUAGUAUACAGAUUCAGCAUUGGGACUGUAUUAAACAUUUAUGGGUAAGAGAUGGGCAUGCGUUCUAUUAGUUAGUUGGAGUGGUAACGGCACCCCAAGACAGCGAUAGAUAGGGGCCCUGAGAGGGGGAUCCCCCACACUGGUACUGAGACACGGACCAGACUCCUACGGGAGGCAGCAGUGAGGAAUAUUGGACAAUGGGCGAGAGCCUGAU
rnacentral:rRNA from 1 species